rnacentral:rRNA from 1 species
AUUGAACGCUGGCGGCAUGCUUUACACAUGCGAGUCGAACGGCAGCGCGGGCUUCGGCCUGGCGGCGAGUGGCGAACGGGUGAGUAAUGCAUCGGAAAGUGCCCAGUAGUGGGGGAUAGCCCGGCGAAAGCCGGAUUAAUACCGCAUACGACCUGAGGGUGAAAGCGGGGGACCGAAAGGCCUCGCGCUAUUGGAGCGGCCGAUGUCGGAUUAGCUAGUUGGUGGGGUAAAGGCUUACCAAGGCGACGAUCCGUAGCUGGUCUGAGAGGACGACCAGCCACACUGGGACUGAGACACGGCCCAGACUCCUACGGGAGGCAGCAGUGGGGAAUUUUGGACAAUGGGGGCAACCCUGAUCCAGCCAUGCCGCGUGCGGGAAGAAGGCCUUCGGGUUGUAAACCGCUUUUGUUCGGGAAGAAAUCCUCUGGGCUAAUACCCCGGGGGGAUGACGGUACCGGAAGAAUAAGCACCGGCUAACUACGUG